AGAAAAGCAGGGGAUCGCAAGACCUUGCGCUUUUGGAGCGGCCGAUGUCUGAUUAGCUAGUUGGUGAGGUAAAGGCUUACCAAGGCUUCGAUCAGUAGCUGGUCUGAGAGGACGACCAGCCACACUGGGACUGAGACACGGCCCAGACUCCUACGGGAGGCAGCAGUGGGGAAUUUUGGACAAUGGGGGCAACCCUGAUCCAGCCAUGCCGCGUGAGUGAAGAAGGCCUUCGGGUUGUAAAGCUCUUUCAGCCGGAACGAAAAGGUUACGGUUAAUACCCGUGACUAAUGACGGUACCGGAAGAAGAAGCACCGGCUAACUACGUGCCAGCAGCCGCGGUAAUACGUAGGGUGCGAGCGUUAAUCGGAAUUACUGGGCGUAAAGCGUGCGCAGGCGGUUUUGUAAGUCAAGAUGUGAAAUNCCCCGGGCUUAACCUGGGAACUGCGUUUGAAACUACAAAGCU
rnacentral:rRNA from 1 species